rnacentral:misc_RNA from 1 species
GAUGAAGAACGUAGCGAAAUGCGAUAAGUAAUGUGAAUUGCAGAAUUCAGUGCAUCAUCGAAUCUUUGAACGCACAUUGCGCCCGCCAGUAUUCUGGCGGGCAUGCCUGUUCGAGCGUCAUUACAACCCUCAGGCCCCCGGGCCUGGCGUUGGGGAUCGGCGGAGCCCCCCGUGGGCACACGCCGUCCCCCAAAUACAGUGGCGGUCCCGCCGCAGCUUCCAUCGCGUAGUAGCUAACACCUCGCGACUGGAGAGCGGCGCGGCCACGCCGUAAAACACCCAACUCUUCUGAAGUUGACCUCGAAUCAGGUAGGAAUACCCGCUGAACUUAAGCAUAUCAAUAAGCGGAGGA